UAAAAGACUAUGACUAGAAGAGUAGAAUAAAGGAUAUGUUCAAGAGAGUCGGCAGUGGUGGGAAUCCGAUACAUUACUUUAUUUGAAGAACAUCUAUGAGUUGCUAACCGAAAUCUUAAGUGAAAGUAGGCCUAGACGGAACCAAGCCGUUAUACCUUGGACAGUAUCGAUAAUUUUCUGUACUGAUAGAGUGAGCUAUUAUUUAGCUAAUUUAGGUGGCACCGCGGAAGCAUAUGCUUUUCGUCCUUAUU
rnacentral:ncRNA from 1 species